rnacentral:tRNA from 1 species
UUCGUCUUAGCUCAGCCACUAGAGCACAUGGCUGUUAACCAUGUGGCCGUGGGUUCGAUUGCUAUAGACGGCG